UACAGAUGUUACCAUUGGGUAAAACUGGGUGAAGGAUACAGAGAUUCCUCUGUGUUAUUUCUCACAACUGCCUCUGAACCUAUAAAUAUCU